UCGUCUUGGACUUACACAGCGGGCUCACCCGCGCACAAGGCCCUCAUCGUCUCCAGCCAAGUCAACAAGCCGCCAAGCUUACAGGCCCAGCUUCGUGCGGCGCCAGUGGCGGCGCUUAGCGUUGUAACGGAUGGUGUUGUCCGUGCGGAAGCGAAUCCAGUGGGGAAUGGGGCGGUUCUGCUUGGCCUUCUUGGCCAGCUUCUGCUUAAUCUUGAACGACUUGUUGGACGGCAUUUUUGUGCUGCCUUAGGACAACGUAGCGGAGCCCAAGAGGAAGAA
rnacentral:lncRNA from 1 species